UGACCGCUGGCGGCGUGCCUAAUACAUGCAAGUCGAGCGAACAGACGAGGAGCUUGCUCCUCUGACGUUAGCGGCGGACGGGUGAGUAACACGUGGAUAACCUACCUAUAAGACUGGGAUAACUUCGGGAAACCGGAGCUAAUACCGGAUAAUAUAUUGAACCGCAUGGUUCAAUAGUGAAAGACGGUUUUGCUGUCACUUAUAGAUGGAUCUGCGCCGCAUUAGCUAGUUGGUAAGGUAACGGCUUACCAAGGCGACGAUGCGUAGCCGACCUGAGAGGGUGAUCGGCCACACUGGAACUGAGACACGGUCCAGACUCCUACGGGAGGCAGCAGUAGGGAAUCUUCCGCAAUGGGCGAAAGCCUGACGGAGCAACGCCGCGUGAGUGAUGAAGGUCUUCGGAUCGUAAAACUCUGUUAUUAGGGAAGAACAAAUGUGUAAGUAACUAUGCACGUCUUGACGGUACCUAAUCAGAAAGCCACGGCUAACUACGUG
rnacentral:rRNA from 1 species